rnacentral:rRNA from 1 species
CCUACGGGAGGCAGCAGUGGGGGAUAUUGCACAAUUCGGGGAACCCUGAUGCAGCGACGCCGCGUGGGUGAAGGAGUGCUUCGGCAUGUAAAGCCCUAUCGGCAGGGCAUAAGCAAGACGGUACCUGACUAAGCAGCCCCGGCUAACUACGUGCAAGCAGCCGCGGUAAUACGUAGGGGGCGAGCGUUAUCCGGAUUCACUGAGUGUGAAGGGAGCGUAGACGGCCAUGCAAGCCAGGGGUGAAAGCCCGGGGCCCAACCCCGUGACUGCCCUUGGAACUGCAUGGCUGGAGUGCGGGAGGGGCAGGCGGAAUUCCUUGUGUAGCGGUGACAUGCGUAGAUAUCAGGAGGAACACCGGCGGCGAAGGCGGCCUGCUGGACUGCGACUGACGUUGAGGCUCGAAAGCGUGGGGAGCGAACAGGAUUAGAUACCCUUGUAGUC